GCAUUGGUGGUUCAGUGGUAGAAUUCUCACCUUCCAUGAGAAAGACCCAAGUUCAAUUUCUGGCCAAUGCA
rnacentral:tRNA from 1 species